AUUGAACGCUGGCGGCAGGCCUAACACAUGCAAGUCGAGCGGAUGAAGGGAGCUUGCUCCUGGAUUCAGCGGCGGACGGGUGAGUAAUGCCUAGGAAUCUGCCUGGUAGUGGGGGAUAACGUCCGGAAACGGGCGCUAAUACCGCAUACGUCCUGAGGGAGAAAGUGGGGGAUCUUCGGACCUCACGCUAUCAGAUGAGCCUAGGUCGGAUUAGCUAGUUGGUGGGGUAAAGGCCUACCAAGGCGACGAUCCGUAACUGGUCUGAGAGGAUGAUCAGUCACACUGGAACAGAGACACGGUCCAGACUCCUACGGGGGGCAGCAGUGGGGAAUAUUGGACAAUGGGCGAAAGCCUGAUCCAGCCAUGCCGCGUGUGUGAAGAAGGUCUUCGGAUUGUAAAGCACUUUAAGUUGGGAGGAAGGGCAGUAAGUUAAUACCUUGCUGUUUUGACGUUACCAACAGAAUAAGCACCGGCUAACUUCGUG
rnacentral:rRNA from 1 species